AGCGAACGCUGGCGGCAGGCUUAACACAUGCAAGUCGAGCGGGCAUCCUUGUGGUGUCAGCGGCAGACGGGUGAGUAACGCGUGGGAACGUGCCCUUCGGUUCGGAAUAACUCAGGGAAACUUGAGCUAAUACCGGAUACGUGCGAGAGCAGAAAGGUUUAUCUGCCGAAGGAUCGGCCCGCGUCUGAUUAGCUAGUUGGUGAGGUUAUGGCUCACCAAGGCGACGAUCAGUAGCUGGUCUGAGAGGAUGAUCAGCCACACUGGGACUGAGACACGGCCCAGACUCCUACGGGAGGCAGCAGUGGGGAAUAUUGGACAAGGGGGGCAACCCUGGUCCAGCCAUGCCGCGUGAGUGAUGACGGCCUUAGGGUUGUAAAGCUCUUUUCUUCGGGACGAUAAUGACGGUACCGGAGGAAUAAGCCCCGGCUAACUUCGUG
rnacentral:rRNA from 1 species